UACGUAGGGUGCAAGCGUUGUCCGGAAUUAUUGGGCGUAAAGAGCUCGCAGGCGGUCUGUUGCGUCGGCUGUGAAAACCCGGGGCUCAACUCCGGGCCUGCAGUCGAUACGGGCAGACUAGAGUUCGGCAGGGGAGACUGGAAUUCCUGGUGUAGCGGUGAAAUUCGUAGAUAUCGAGAGGAACACCGGUGGCGAAGGCGGCUUUCUGGACGAUUACUGACGCUGAGACGCGAAAGCGUGGGGAGCAAACAGG
rnacentral:rRNA from 1 species